rnacentral:lncRNA from 1 species
UGAUUGUCUGUAACUUCUAGUUCUCCAGCACCCUCAUUAUCUCUGCAUAGAAAAUUAUUAAUAAUAGUAGGAGAAAAUGAUAUACACUUACCACUCACAUACACCUUGCAGAAUUCCUUGCUAUUCUUAUCAGAAAUGUCCUCAGGAAUGUUAACAAUAAAUUCCUCCACUAAACCUUCAUUGAGAGAACCCAUCAACAAUUUUCAGCAACCCGACAACUUUUAUCAGGUCCAUGACCUCCUUCACAUCAACAACAUCUUUUCCCAACUCCCUUUCC